rnacentral:sRNA from 1 species
GGCAGGGGAUUGAGCCUUAUGUUCGAACCCAUUUUCAUAUCCAUAACACCUGUGCACCUGCUUGGAUGCUUGCAUCCACCUUUUAAACUAAACAUUAUUGUAACAAAUGUAGUCUUAUUAUAACAUAAUAAAACUUUCAACAACGGAUCUCUUGGCUCUCGCAUCGAUGAAGAACGCAGCGAAAUGCGAUAAGUAAUGUGAAUUGCAGAAUUCAGUGAAUCAUCGAAUCUUUGAACGCACCUUGCGCUCCUUGGUAUUCCGAGGAGCAUGCCUGUUUGAGUGUCAUGAAACCCUCAAACUCAAGUUUAGUUCUAACUGAACCGAACUUGAGUUUGGAUUUGGACGUUUGCCGGUGAUGAACCGACUCGUCUUAAAAGUAUUAGCUGGAUCUGUCUAUAUGACUGGUUUGACUUGGCAUAAUAAGUAUUUUGCUGAGGACAUCUUCGGAUGGCCAGGACCUAGACUAUUGUCUGCUAACUAAACCUUCACUUUGAGUGCAUCUUCUGGAUGUUACUCAUUGUGUUACUUUGACAU